rnacentral:rRNA from 1 species
UACGUAGGGUGCAAGCGUGUCCGGAAUUAUUGGGCGUAAAGAGCUCGUAGGCGGUUGAGUAAGUCGGGUGUGAAAACUCUGGGCUUAACCCAGAGCCGCCACUCGAUACUGCUCUGACUUGAGUUCGGUAGGGGAGCAGGGAAUUCCUAGUGUAGCGGUGAAAUGCGCAGAUAUUAGGAGGAACACCGGUGGCGAAGGCGCUGCUCUGGGCCGAAACUGACGCUGAGGAGCGAAAGCGUGGGUAGCAAACAGG